UCUGCCUUUUGUGUCACGUCUCUUAAGAUGGGCAGUUAGAAAACAUGCUCUCUCUGUAUUCAUGUAAGAGGGUCUGAUCUCCAGGGGGUGGGGUGGUGGUGGUCUGAGCUUCAAAGAAGAAAAUUGCAUCGAGGAACAGUACCAGACACACCUUCGGGUGUCUGUCAGAGUAGACCGAGAAGCUUUGUUUCCUUACCCAAAGGGGGGCAGAGAGAGCAGAGGGUCAUCUUGGGAGCAGUCAUGCAGGAUGCAGCUCACUCUAGUGGCUGCCUUUAUCCUUUCUUGGCUAGGCUAUUUGUCUGCAUUGCCACUUGAAGAAUACUAGUGCAUUAGGUUAAGCAAUGUGCUGGCCAUCGUGAGUGAUUUGUUUUGCAAUCACUUUAUGCCACUUUCAGCAUUGUCUACAACGUGACUCGGUUGUUGGGUUCUGAUGAACCAUGUCUGGGUGCAGAUGGCUCAGGAGAAAGACCUUGGUCUGGGGGAUUUACUGUUAUCAGCCUGGAGUCUCCUUCCAUCCAGGGAUGACUUUGCAAUGUAGCAGCCCACAGAUGGUCGCUGGGUUCUCAUGACUGUACAAUCAUCUCUAUAGGCUAUAUGAGAUAGUGCUCCAAGGCUCCGCUGGACCCCUACUCAGGAGCAAACCACUCUGAGCAGAAGAAAUGUGAAGAAUUAACAGGCGGUUCCAGCCAGCACCUCACCUCUGCAUGUCCUUCCUGGAUGCCUUCCGCUGUGUGCUACUUGUGAAUACCAGGCCUAGCCAGCCCUGGACACAGCAGUCAGUGACAGUACCACAAGCCCUCCUCCCUCUCCCACACCUCCUCCCUCAGCUGCUUCUCCAGGAGGCCAC